rnacentral:lncRNA from 1 species
GAAACAACGAAUACCUCAUUUUUGAGCUCUUGUGUGAGUGCUUCAGCCUGAUCGAGAGGAAAGCCGGGCACCAGCUCAGUGGUGAGGACGUGUUGACUGCUCAGCUCACUGAUGACGUCCGGCACGUAGAAAAAGGGGUGAUCUUUCAGAAGCUCCCUGCCAAAAACCACAAAACUUCUGAGUCACUGAGCAGCUCAAGCAAACCACCGGGAAAAAGCAUGCCAACCUGCACGUGCACCACAGACACGACGUGAGCAUCAACACACACGUUUGAGUGAUGUGAUGGCGAGCGAACAUCCUGUCUGACGGCCAAAUUUUGGAGGUGAAAGGUCAACAGUCCGAAAGACCAGGAUCAAUGUAAUCAAUUGUACUACCUGACCAAGAGGAGAUUUUCUAGAUGAACACGUUUGACAAUUUCCUGAACUCUUUCAGAAGUACAGCCGUGUGCGCAAUGUGUUUACACAACGUCAAUACUCACAGGAAACAAAAGCUUCAUUUUGAAAGGAACUAAUCAACUGAACACUGAUAAUCUGAUUGCUCUGCUCAAACGUUCACGAUCUCACUCUGAAUACACACACACACACACACACACACACCACUGUAUUUCUCAGAGGUUCAUUCUUCACCCUCUCAGCCAACUCUUUGCACAGGACACAAGCUUGUUGUCAAUGUUAUUAUUUCCAUGUGUGCUUUAUUUAAAUAUGUUAGCACACAAACUGUUCCUCAAGACCAAAUCAUUCAAACUCUGGUUAUUUUUAGCCCUGUGCUGAGGCCGCAAUGCUCCAGAGAAGUCGUUACAUGAGGAUACAGAACUGCAAAAUCAUUCCCAACAGAUGUAGUGUUUAUUUUUGUUUGCGUAAACCUUCCUUUCAAAGGGCAUUGUGAAACGGGAUAGAUUUAGCUUGGACAUCAGAUAUAUGGCAGCCGGCCUGAAGGGUCCUGUUUGUAAGCUCUCAGACGGCCGUGAUUUUUAUAGAGAGGUAGAUUAAUGAACACAGUGAUGGGAUGCUUUAAAGGUCUCUUGAAUGCCUUGAAAUGCACAGCUUAUUUAGAUGUAUGAUGUAAUUUUUGCUUAAAUUGAGGGAAAGGGUGAGGGAUAUUAUGUAGCCCCUCCCCUUUUUAAAAAUAGCCAAUAGCUCUUCGGUAAUCAUGCAGCGCUACCAGUCAAAUUCAUUGAGCCAAAGCUUAUGACAGCCACACAAUAUUAAUUUGCAAUAUAAUAAUAAUAAUAAAUAUUAAUUUACAAUGUAAUGUAAUAUAUUAUUUACAAUACAAUAUGUAAAUAUAAUAU